rnacentral:rRNA from 1 species
UACGUAGGGUCCGAGCGUUGUCCGGAAUUAUUGGGCGUAAAGGGCUCGUAGGCGGUCUGUUGCGUCGGGAGUGAAAACUCAGGGCUUAACCCUGAGCCUGCUUCCGAUACGGGCAGACUAGAGGUAUGCAGGGGAGAACGGAAUUCCUGGUGUAGCGGUGAAAUGCGCAGAUAUCAGGAGGAACACCGGUGGCGAAGGCGGGUCUCUGGGCCGAUACUGACGCUGAGGAGCGAAAGCGUGGGGAGCGAACAGG